GACGAACGCUGGCGGCGUGCCUAAUACAUGCAAGUAGAACGCUGAAGGAGGAGCUUGCUUCUCUGGAUGAGUUGCGAACGGGUGAGUAACGCGUAGGUAACCUGCCUGGUAGCGGGGGAUAACUAUUGGAAACGAUAGCUAAUACCGCAUAAUAGUAGAUGUUGCAUGACAUUUGCUUAAAAGGUGCAAUUGCAUCACUACCAGAUGGACCUGCGUUGUAUUAGCUAGUUGGUGGGGUAACGGCUCACCAAGGCGACGAUACAUAGCCGACCUGAGAGGGUGAUCGGCCACACUGGGACUGAGACACGGCCCAGACUCCUACAGGAGGCAGCAGUAGGGAAUCGUCGGCAAUGGACGGAAGUCUGACCGAGCAACGCCGCGUGAGUGAAGAAGGUUUUCGGAUCGUAAAGCUCUGUUGUAAGAGAAGAACGAGUGUGAGAGUGGAAAGUUCACACUGUGACGGUAUCUUACCAGAAAGGGACGGCUAACUACGUG
rnacentral:rRNA from 1 species